rnacentral:rRNA from 1 species
AACGCUGGCGGCGUGCUUAACACAUGCAAGUUCGAACGGUGAAAGAGGACCAGCUCGCUGGUUUCUUGGGAUUGAGCGGCGAACGGGUUGAGUAACACGUGAGUAACCUGCCCCCUUCUUCUGGAUAACCGCAUGAAAGUGUGGCUAAUACGGGAUAUUCUGGGUCUGUCGCAUGACGGGCCCGGGAAAGAUAUUGCUUCGGUGGGGGAUGGGCUCGCGGCCUAUCAGCUUGUUGGUGGGGUGAUGGCCUACCAAGGCGGUGACGGGUAGCCGGCCUGAGAGGGUGGACGGUCACACUGGGACUGAGACACGGCCCAGACUCCUACGGGAGGCAGCAGUGGGGAAUAUUGCACAAUGGGCGCAAGCCUGAUGCAGCGACGCCGCGUGAGGGAUGGAGGCCUUCGGGUUGUAAACCUCUUUCGCCAGUGAAGCAGGCCUGCUCCUUGUUGGGUGGGUUGACGGUAGCUGGAUAAGAAGCGCCGGCUAACUACGUGCCAGCAGCCGCGGUAAUACGUAGGGCGCGAGCGUUGUCCGGAAUUAUUGGGCGUAAAGAGCUCGUAGGCGGCUGGUCGCGUCUGUCGUGAAAUCCUCUGGCUUAACUGGGGGCUUGCGGUGGGUACGGGCCGGCUUGAGUGCGGUAGGGGAGACUGGAACUCCUGGUGUAGCGGUGGAAUGCGCAGAUAUCAGGAAGAACACCGGUGGCGAAGGCGGGUCUCUGGGCCGUUACUGACGCUGAGGAGCGAAAGCGUGGGGAGCGAACAGGAUUAGAUACCCUGGUAGUCCACGCCGUAAACGUUGGGCACUAGGUGUGGGGGGCCUUUUCCGGGUCUUCCGCGCCGUAGCUAACGCAUUAAGUGCCCCGCCUGGGGAGUACGGCCGCAAGGCUAAAACUCAAAGGAAUUGACGGGGGCCCGCACAAGCGGCGGAGCAUGCGGAUUAAUUCGAUGCAACGCGAAGAACCUUACCAAGGCUUGACAUGUGCCGGUCGGCUCCGGAGACGGGGCUUCCUCCUUGUGGGGCCGGUUCACAGGUGGUGCAUGGUUGUCGUCAGCUCGUGUCGUGAGAUGUUGGGUUAAGUCCCGCAACGAGCGCAACCCUUGUCCCGUGUUGCCAGCACGUUGUGGUGGGGACUCGCGGGAGACUGCCGGGGUCAACUCGGAGGAAGGUGGGGAUGACGUCAAAUCAUCAUGCCCCUUAUGUCUUGGGCUUCACGCAUGCUACAAUGGCCGGUACAGAGGGCUGCGAUACCGUGAGGUGGAGCGAAUCCCUUAAAGCCGGUCUCAGUUCGGAUCGGUGUCUGCAACUCGACACCGUGAAGUUGGAGUCGCUAGUAAUCGCAGAUCAGCAACGCUGCGGUGAAUACGUUCUCGGGCCUUGUACACACCGCCCGUC